rnacentral:rRNA from 1 species
GACGAACGCUGGCGGCGUGCCUAAUACAUGCAAGUCGAGCGAAGUUUUUCUGGUGCUUGCACCGGAAAAACUUAGCGGCGAACGGGUGAGUAACACGUAAAGAACCUGCCUCAUAGACUGGGACAACUAUUGGAAACGAUAGCUAAUACCGGAUAAUAGCAUUAACUGCAUGGUUGAUGUUUAAAAGUUGUUUUUGCUAACACUAUGAGAUGGCUUUGCGGUGCAUUAGCUAGUUGGUGGGGUAAAGGCCUACCAAGGCGACGAUGCAUAGCCGACCUGAGAGGGUGAUCGGCCACACUGGGACUGAGACACGGCACAGACUCCUACGGGAGGCAGCAGUAGGGAAUCUUCCGCAAUGGGCGAAAGCCUGACGGAGCAACGCCGCGUGAGUGAAGAAGGAUUUCGGUUCGUAAAGCUCUGUUGUUAGGGAAGAAUGAUUGUGUAGUAACUAUACACAGUAGAGACGGUACCUAACCAGAAAGCCACGGCUAACUACGUG